rfam:Pelodiscus sinensis unplaced genomic scaffold scaffold419, whole genome shotgun sequence.
GCCGGGCCCCGUGGCGGGGGCCUGUGAUCCCAGCGCCCGGGAGGCUGAGGCCGGCGGAUCCCUUGAGCUCGGGAGUUCUGGGCUGCAGGGGGCUGUGCCGAGCGGGUGUCCGCACCGAGGGCGGCAUCGACAUGGGGGUCCCUGGGGAGCCGGGGGUCCCCAGGUUGCCUAAGGAGGGGCGAACCGGCCCAGGCCGGGAACGGAGCAGGUCAAAGCUCCCGUGCCGCUCAGCGGGGGGAUGGCGCCUGCGAACAGCCCCUGCUGCGCAGCCCGGGCGACACAGGGAGACCCGGCCUCUC